GCCUUUAUAGCUCAAUGGUAGAGCAAUAUACUGUUAAUAUAUUGGCUAGAUGUUCAAAUCAUCUUAAAGGCGC
rnacentral:tRNA from 1 species